AGACCAUGGUGUGGGCAUUCUCUCUGCAGAUCCUUGAACCUUUCCCAUACUUCAAACAAGCUCUCGUCUUCCUGCUGCGUAAUAGAAAUGAUCUGGCUCCUCAGACG
rnacentral:snoRNA from 1 species